rnacentral:rRNA from 1 species
CCUACGGGUGACAGCAGUGGGGAAUAUUGCACAAUGGGGGAAACCCUGAUGCAGCGACGCCGCGUGAGCGAUGAAGUAUUUCGGUAUGUAAAGCUCUAUCAGCAGGGAAGAAAAUGACGGUACCUGACUAAGAAGCCCCGGCUAACUACGUGCCAGCAGCCGCGGUAAUACGUAGGGGGCAAGCGUUAUCCGGAGUUACUGGGUGUAAAGGGAGCGUAGACGGCUGUGCAAGCCAGAUGUGAAAGCCCGGGGCCCAACCCCGGGACUGCCUUUGAAACUGUGUGGCUAGAGUGUCGGAGAGGCAGGCGGAAUGCCUAGUGUAGCGGUGAAAUGCGUAGAUAUUAGGAGGAACACCAGUGGCGAAGGCGGCCUGCUGGACGAUGACUGACGUUGAGGCUCGAAAGCGUGGGGAGCAAACAGGAUUAGAUACCCGGGUAGUC